AAGAGAUAAAUAUGAAAAUGGUCUCUAAACUAUGAGCGAAAAUUGGUUUUGGUCCCCGCCGGCGUAACUUCUGGAAAUAUUCCCUCCAGUGCGGUGAACCACCGUGCCUGAGAUUUGGUCCGGCCAUUUCCGGCACGGUGGUUCGCUUCACAGGAGGAACUAUUUUCGGAAGUUACGCAGGCGAGGGACCAAAACCAGCUUUCGCUCAUAGUUCAGGAACCAUUAUCAUAUUUAUCCCUU
rnacentral:pre_miRNA from 1 species